rnacentral:lncRNA from 1 species
UAUAUGAGUUAGCCUAUUUUAAUUAAGUUAAUAAUUUUUAAUAUUGUUAUUUAUCUAGGAGUACGGUCCAAUUGAUCGACGAUCACCUUUGCCAAUGAGAUCACCUCCACCCAGAGGAUCACUUCUGCCGAUGAAAUCUCCUUAUCCCCAUCCAGACACCUCUCUCAUUGGUCUCUUGCACACAGUUAGAGUCAUUAUUUUUGAUGAUUUGGAUGAUCGCUUGACUGGAUUUAUAGGGAAAGAGGUGGACACACCGCAAUGAAAGUUGAGAGGCAAGGUAGAUGAUUUAUUUUACGAUACAGGAGUGCUAUGUCACCACUUCGUAGACCUUAGGAUGAGGUCACGGCGCUUAGAGACGAUAAAGUAGGCAGGCGAUGGGGGUGACGAAGAGGGGUGAUGGGAGGGUAACGGAGAGGGAGGUCACUCAUAGUUGUGGACAGAUGUUGCAUUAGAAUCAUUUUUGUUAUCUGUAAAGUAGGAGGGGUAGCCCCAAUGAGGACGAGAGAGGCUGCAGGAGAGGAAAGAAUGGAGGGGUGGCCCUUAUGGAAAUCGAAGAAGUGGCGAAUGUGGGGUUGGCCCGGAUGGCGAAGGAGGUGGUGGAGGAGAUGGCAAUCUCCAGGGUGGAGAAAAAGAAGAUAAGAAGCUUGCUGUUGAUGUGUCGGAGCGGGUGAUCAACAAGAGGUCGAAAUUGCCGUCAUAGUACGUCAUUUCUUCCUUCACAGCUAAGGCGAAGAGGAAGAUGUUCAUCAAUGAGACGUACCCCAAUCUAUUCCAGAAGGUGGAUAUGUUAAGUGGAAAGCAUUCAAGAUAGAGUGGAGAAGAAGUAUGCUUCGGUAAGUAUUAUAAAAUUUUAGUACAGUACGCUAUGUUAGCGUAUCUAUGCUUAUUUUAACAUUUUCUUUAUUUCUUUUCCAGAGUUUGUCACACGAUAGCUCAAAGGACGAUCAUGAACAAAUGGUUCCAUAACAUCACCACUUUAGGAGUUUGGCUUGGUGACGAUGUAAGUGAAAUAGUCAUGUUAUUAUUUAUUAUGUAUACAUAUUUUUUUUUAUUAAAUGAAAUAAUUCCCUCUUUUUUAUUAGUGUUUCCUGAUGUCACACAUCGACCUGGCCAUGGUCUUAUUGUGUGAUUGGAUUUAAAGAUACCCAAAAUUAUUUGACAUUCCAGGUUGAUCAUAUUGAGCACUGAGUUCAUACCUGUAGUUACCAUUAAGUAUUAGUCACUCCACCUUAUAGGUAAUGAGUAUAUGAACCCAAAUAUAUGCUUGAGUGGGUUAUAGGGAUGUGGCCGAGUGUCAAGAAAAAGUCAUAGGAAGAUUGUACGCAUAUGUACAUUCCAGUGAUUAAGAAUCAUCACUACUUUGUUGUGGAGAUCGUCUUUGCUGAUUUCACUAUACAUGUGUAAAACUCUGAUCAUUCACAUCUAACACAGAGUCAACUUGAGCAAAACCACCCGCUGUGGUGAUUGUGCAAGACAGAUUGACUAUCAUGAGGGACACGACGAUGGCCAGAAAGUCGAGAUCGCAAGUAUUUAUAAUAUUUUUUAACUUGAAAACUUAGAUUUUAGCUACACUACCGAAUUAACACAUUAUUAUUCAAUUGCAAGGUGAUUGCGACAUGUUCCCAAUAAAGCUUAUUAAAUUUUUGAGUAUAACACAUAAGGUUGAUGGAAUAAACCAAUCAUGAUACAAAUUUGGAGGAAUAAAUUAGCGUGUGAUUUAUAUGAAUUUAAUUGUGAUUCGUAAAU